UCUCUGAGAGUCUUACAUAUGGGGGCUCGUCCGGGAUCGGAGAUCCUCUGCCUAGAGACCACCGACCACCCACCGGGAGGCUAAAAGACCUACAGGUGAUACAGAAAGAAAUCUGCUCACAGCUGACAGCAGCCUAUGCCCCGGAGACCCCUGAGACAUGUCAUCAGCUCCAGGUUAGAGACUACAGCUACACUGAGCCCAGACACUCGAGCCUCGCUGGAAAGGACCGUACCUGGUGCUGCUGACCACCCUGACAGCCGUCAAUUCUCAGCCCUCACCAGCAGCGUACUAGCUGUUGGGGCUGAGAGCUGGGACCUAGAGGGACACUCAGCCUGUUUGCCCUGGGUUCCCUCGGAAUAGGUGUAAGGAUAGGCUUGAUUUUUAUUACAAAUGAUGUAACAUUACAUAUGUUAGUACUCCUAACACUUCUUGGGACUGUGCCUCAGGGAUCACAACCUAUAUAAGUUUAGAAGUUCUAAAAGACCUUGGUGUAUAGGUUCAGAUAGUGUCCAGAUUAGAAUCCUGAUGCUAAAGACUUAAUAAGACACAAAAGAGAGUUGAGAAUUAUUUAAGGCUAUCCAGGUGCUACAAGGGCAGCACAAGGACAUCUGCUGUUGCCUUACAAUGCAAGGCUUAUAGAGAAUUCAGAACUGCCAUUGACUCAGAUAUAAAAAGAGUAAAAAAGACUUUUUAGCUGACCUCCAAGAAUACCUAACCUCCCUCUCAGAGGUAGUCCUUCAAAAUAGGAAAAGAUUAGACCUGAUAUUCCUUAAAGAAAGAGUCUGUGUGCUACACUAAAAGAAGAAUGUUGUUUCUAUGCAGAUCAGACAGGAAUAAUAAGAGAUACAGACUUUCAGUCAUUCAAACUUUUGUGCUGAGAAAACAGUAUCAGAUGGUGAAAAAAAAAAAAAACAGAGGUACCUAAAACAAGUUGAGUGGAAGAUUCCACUCAAGGAC
rnacentral:lncRNA from 1 species